rnacentral:lncRNA from 1 species
AAAAAGCCAUAUUCCAAGCUAAUUUCAUUUGGGCUUUGUUGAUGAAUUUUGCCUCUUAUGUAAAAGCUAGAUCGGAAAGAUGUAUAAAAAGUUGGAUUGUUGUGAUCCAAACUCAAUGGUAGAAGCACUUUAUCACCUUAUUACCAUGAAUAAUCUACAUCUCGAAGAGGAGGCUUUUGUUGUUACUGCUGCAAAUCCGACUUCUAAAGCAACAAAUGGGUUUGAAUACCCAUUUGUUUCAUGCAUCAAAUUAUUUUGGCUUUUACAUCAUCAUCUUCUUUAACAGAUUCAUCAUAUAAACUAACACUAGAUGUGCUUAACCUUUUUCACUUAGCUAGAUUUUCAUUACUUUCAAAUCUUCAAUUUCUUUCACAAACCCUAACCAUACAAUUCUAUUAAUUCUCAAACUACAUAAACAAUAGUGCCAGAGUUGGUGGCUGCAUCAAGACACGUUUGUCAAUACCUCCAAGCUUAUAGAUGAGAUGUCGAUAGCAGUGGAUUUGCCAGAGUCAACCAGGCGAUGUUGAUGCAAACCUUCUUCUUACCUAUUAUAAAUUUCUAAGAUUGAUCUUACAAAAAUAAACCAUUUUUCUCAGAAAACUAAUCAUCUUUAUCAAGAAAGGAGAUGAAGAGCAACAGUUUAAUGUCUGAAUAGCCCACUAAUUCUUAAACAGUGAGACUAGUAUAUGGUGUGGAGGUGUAGGUGGAGGGCCAAUCCUAAUGCUGGUUCAAAGAUUGAGAUGAGAAGAAGAGAGCGGUAAUUUAAAAUGGUAAUAAUGUUUGUGGUUCCUAUAUAAUAAUAAGGU